AAAGCAUUGUACCGCAGAGCUCAAGGAUGGCAAGGAUUAAAAGAAUAUGAUCAAGCAUUGGCUGAUCUUAAGAAAGCUCAGGGGAUAGCACCAGAAGAUAAAGGUAAGUUGGCAGCUUUUGUAGUGAAAGUUAAUUUUGUUAUUUAAAUACUUAUCCUCAGGAACCAUUGUUCACUUUGCCAGAUUUUAGAUGUUUGUUCAACAGACACUACAGAAUGCCUGCUGUUGGGCCAGGCAUUAUCAUAUAGCAAUGAACAAGACAGUCAAAGUCCCUGCCCUCAAAGAGCUUACAUUCUACUCCCAUUCAAGAAUAUAGUAGUUUUUCACGUUAUUUAUUCUUCAAGUUAUCAUCUCUGUAGUUUUUUAUAUGUCUAAAUACUGUUUGUCUUAUGGUAUCCUUUGAGACUGUGUUCCUAUUCUGGUUAGUCUAGUCGAGAGCUCAGCAUUGUAAGACACAGUAUUCAUGGUAAAUUUAACAUUUGGGACCAUUCAAGUUGAAUGUGGCUAUAACCUUAGUAUUGAUGUACUGGUUAUAUGUUUUAGGAAACUAUGACAAAAAUAAGCUUGUUUUUCAAAUAAACCAACUAUGAAUAGUGACACUAGAUCUGGGUAUUACAAAAUGUCUUUGGUCUCUUAUUACUAAAAUGAAACAAGGGAAGCAAUUACUGUUCUCUAAUGUAGAGGCAGAAGGCAAAUCUUGAUGUACUUGAGUUCUCUCAGUUGACAUCCUCUAAAAUUACGUUUCAUUUCUGUGUUUGUGUGAUUGCUCAGAUUUUCUGUUACUAGGGC
rnacentral:lncRNA from 10 species